UAACGCCUUUUUAAAGUCAAA
rnacentral:piRNA from 1 species